rnacentral:rRNA from 1 species
CGAACGGUAAGGCCCUUUCGGGGGUACACGAGUGGCGAACGGGUGAGUAACACGUGGGUAAUCUGCCCUGCACUUCGGGAUAAGCCUGGGAAACCGGGUCUAAUACCGGAUAUGAGCUCCUGCCGCAUGGUGGGGGUUGGAAAGUUUUUCGGUGCAGGAUGAGUCCGCGGCCUAUCAGCUUGUUGGUGGGGUAAUGGCCUACCAAGGCGACGACGGGUAGCCGGCCUGAGAGGGUGAUCGGCCACACUGGGACUGAGACACGGCCCAGACUCCUACGGGAGGCAGCAGUGGGGAAUAUUGCACAAUGGGCGAAAGCCUGAUGCAGCGACGCCGCGUGGGGGAUGACGGUCUUCGGAUUGUAAACUCCUUUCAGUAGGGACGAAGCGAAAGUGACGGUACCUGCAGAAGAAGCACCGGCCAACUACGUGCCAGCAGCCGCGGUAAUACGUAGGGUGCAAGCGUUGUCCGGAAUUACUGGGCGUAAAGAGCUCGUAGGCGGUUUGUCACGUCGUCUGUGAAAUCCUCCAGCUCAACUGGGGGCGUGCAGGCGAUACGGGCAGACUUGAGUACUACAGGGGAGACUGGAAUUCCUGGUGUAGCGGUGAAAUGCGCAGAUAUCAGGAGGAACACCGGUGGCGAAGGCGGGUCUCUGGGUAGUAACUGACGCUGAGGAGCGAAAGCAUGGGGAGCAAACAGGAUUAGAUACCCUGGUAGUCCAUGCCGUAAACGGUGGGCGCUAGGUGUGGGGUCCUUCCACGGAUUCCGUGCCGUAGCUAACGCAUUAAGCGCCCCGCCUGGGGAGUACGGC